AUCAUCUAUAUGAUCACACUAUCAUCACCAUGAACAUGUCUACAGCUUCAAUAUCAUUCAAUGCUUCGGCUACAUCUUCUGAUAUGAACAACCCUACAUUAAUUGGAACAUUAACCUUGAUGUUCCAUGUCAUAAAUACCGCUUCAGGAACAGUGUGUCUGUUCACUCUCUUAUGCAUAUUAUUCCACAAGAACCUCCGGAGACAGACCUUUAUCAUUCCUUUCAACAUUGUUCUUUGUGAUUUCAUCUCUGUUGCUACAAGAUAUUCCGGAGUAAGGAAAGGAGUAAUUGGUUUCAUCGUCUACAUGGCAAUAUUUGGAAGCGACGUGACGUCCCUGUUGAGCAUUUUCCUCGCCGCUCUGCAUCAGUUCAUAACCAUUCGAAUCGAUCCUUUCGGAGCCCGUCGCAUCAUCACAACGCCACGCUCCAUCGCUGCUUGCAUCGUUAGUUGGCUACUACCUGUACCCGUCCUUACUGGCCUCUAUGUAUCCAACGAGGAAUACUAUUCAUAUUAUCUUGGGGGCAUUGACAUCGGGCUUCUCUUUCUCACCGGCAUGUUUUAUCUUUUUCUCUAUCGGGCUGUGUCGGAAGGACCACCGGGUGUGGCCAUCUCAGAACAGAGAAAGCAGGAAAAUAGACAAAUCUUCAUCACAUUGAUACUCGUUUAUGUGACGACCUUAGUAUUCCGAAUGAUUUACAGAAUAGAAUAUGUUUUAUUGGAAAUUUAUAGGUUAGAACCGCUGGGCCACAUGAUGAAUAUUUUUUAUGCUCUUUGCGCCUUCUCAAAUUCUGUUGUUUAUUGGUGGCGCCUCGCGGAGUUUAGGUCCAUAUUACUAACGUGUGGGAAAUGUGGGAAAUGCAGAAAGCGAAGAAUUGGGGUACUGGUCUAAAGUUUGUUUGUUGUCUAUUUAGGCCUAUAUUUCCGAAUGUCAAGUGUGGGUCAUAAUUAUUAUGCCUGUUUUGCAUAUUUGGUGAUUAUUUAAGAAACAUUUUAUGUAAAUUAGAUUUUGGAAUAAACUUGUUAUAGACCUUAUUAUUUCGAAGUGAAUAUUUGUAUAUUUAUAUAUGUUUUAUCAUUGUAUAUAAUAUCUGCAUGUGAAUUUAGACCCGGGAUUUGUACUUGUCUUUUUAAUCAGAUGUGGAAAUAAAUUUGAAUUGAAUUGUAAUUAUGGUAGGUGCACAAAACAAAUAAGAAAUGAAACCAGUUCUGUUUCGGCAUAUCGUUGAGCAUUUGACCCGAGCGCUAACAAGUUCCAGUUGAUGUAUUUCUCUCCCCUGAAAACCAAGAACAAUACUUUUAUUUAUGUAUAUAAUAAGGUUCAAAAUCAUGAGAGCAGUUGCUUAAAGCGUGUACUGGUACAUGUAUUUUAUUUGGUGUGGUUUGGUUUGGUUAUGAUUAGUGUUCUACUAAUUAACUUUAAAUCAAUUGCAAUUAAUCCAUUUAUAAUUGAUGGGUAUUAAUAGUUAGUUACUUUUUUUGCUUGUUUCUCAAACUAAUGUAUCACUAGAAAAUGGUAAAUUGUUAAAAGGUACAUUGCAAAAACAAUAAAAUUUUAUUUAUGCAUACAGUAUGAAAUAGGCUGAUCACAUAAUCCCCAUUGUUUACUGCCUGUUCGACUUAUUGUAUUUGUUAAAAAAAUUGAAGAGUCCAUCGAAAAUCCAUCGAAGAUGUACAUUAAUAUCUGUAUUAGAUAUUAACUGCAAUGUAGUCAUCAGUCUCAUCAGACAAGUUUUUCAUGAAGUUACGUGUAUUUUCACUUCAGUGUUGAACUUAAUUAGUUCAGUGUGUAUUUAUUUUUUUCUUCUCCUUUUCUUUGUUGGGGGUUUGUUGUGAAUUUCAUGAAAACGUAACUAUGACAACAUUUCCUUUGAUGUCGGUUCCACUUCCAUUUUUUUCUUUCGUGGAACUAUAUUUCGUGUGGUGUACGCCUUUCCCCUUUGGCAUUCCGUUAGCAAUCUCCUAAAAACUUCAAGCAUUCCGUCGAUAUUUGUUUUGCAGUAACUGUAUGAGCAGACAGGUACCGUCCAGUUAUUACAAAAUAUCAAUUAAAAGAUAUAACUAUACAUUCAAACAAGCCUACAUAACGCAAAAGGUAGAUAAGGCAUUGUUUACAGUCACUUAGGCUAUAGACAGGUUUAUUCAUCAGAAGUUAAUCUAUCGAUUUUAAAGUCUUGCUAGUAAUUAACCAAACAUCAAUUAUACGUAUAUUCGUAACGUUCAUGUAAUUAUAAUUUUACGAAGGACAUUUAUGUAAUCCCAUCUUCAUCUAAUUAGAAACCGGAAUAUGGAGUUUCCGAGUGAAUAGGAAACCUAUACCAUUAGAAGACACGUUCAGUCCGCCUAUAGCCUUCCCGAAUUCCUUGUGAAUCAAAUUUUUUUAUUAUUCGGUUUACUGACACAUGGGCACUGGACGGGGCGUCACUUUGCUCUCCAGUGAAAUAACCGCCAAAAUGAAGCCCGAACGUUGUUUUUCGUUUUCGCCAGUACUUGUGCCACACUCACAAGAGGACGUCUUGAUGGGGCAUUGAAUUCGUAGAGGUGAACUAUUACUACGUCACUCAUUAUCCAUACCCUCACUCACCGUUCAAUGUUGACUUCAGUAUAUAGUGAUAUCACAACGAUGUGCUUAAUUCCCAUGUUAAUAUCUUGACUGGCGGAGAUUGCUUUUCGAACUUUGAGUUGACCUGAUAUCAUUUGAAGACGAACAUCAACGUUGCAAAUUUUUCAUUUUAAUUUUUUACACUUGACACCCAUCAUGUCGCUCAUCACGACAUCAAGCGUCAUAAACGUUUCUUCGUCUUCUGUUGAUUUUGAAGUUUUUGACGAGGAUAAUUUGUUCACAGCUUUAAAUAUGGUUUUUCGAGUCAUGAGCGCGGCUUCAGGGGUCCUCAGUUUAUGCACCAUGCUGUGUAUUAUCCUCCACAAGAACCUUCGGAAGCAGAGUAGCAUCAUUCCUUUCAAUAUCGUCUUGUGCGAUUUCAUCUCUAUCGUUUUAAGAUAUAUCCCUCCGAGCAACAGACGACUACAUGUCAUCAUCUACACAGCAAUUUUAGGCAGCGACUUGACUUCCCUUUUAAGCAUCCUUCUCGUCGCCCUGCAACAGUUUAUCACCAUAAGAGUGGACCCGUUUGGCGCCCGUCGCAUCAUCACAACUCCUCGGACCAUCGCAGCCUGCGUCCUCAGCUGGAUCGUACCCUUGUCCUUCACUGCCCUUCUUGCAUUAAACCACACUGGAAUUGCGACGUUCUUCCUCAUCAUGGACACGACGAUCCUCGUCACCAUCGGAAUAUUUUAUCUAUUCCUCUAUCGGGCCAUCUCGAAAGGCCCUCCUGGUGUGCAUAUCUCGAAACAAAGAAAGCAGGAAAAUAGACAAGUUUUUGUUACGAUUACUCUUGUUUACGUCACAACUUUGAUAUUUCGAAUGAUUUUUCGACUUUUCCAUUUGGCGAUGGAGCGUUUCAUCGGGCAUCAAAUUUUGUGGCCUCUGACGAAUAUCGCUAUCACCUUCAGCGUGGUGUCCAACUCACUCGUUUAUUGGUGGCGCCUAGAAGAAUUCAGAUUAAUAUUAUUUAAGUGUAAGAAAUAUACGAUUAGACCCACGAAAAUCGAUGUUCUUGGAUAAUCACAUUUUGACGAUGGAAAUCAUUAAUAGGAUCAGUAUUAUACUUUUGAUGAUAUUCAAAAAAAUAUAGCGCUUAAAUGGUGAGAUCGUCUUGGCGUAAAGCUGAUUUAAUGUAGAUGCAGAAAAAAGAACAUUAAGAAGGUUUGAAGAAAAAUCAUAAGAGAUUACAAGAGUUGUGCAUUUCAAACCUUUUAUUUUGUUUUGUCGCAUGCGACCAUGCAGCUGCUCCAGUAAUAUAAAUUCAUUAAAAAACUCAUUUUCUCGGACUAUUAAUAAUAGUUUCCAUUCAUUAUUUUCUACCAUUUUAUACCUGUUUUUUAUAAAUUUACUUAUUAUUUCCAGUCAUCAUGAACCAUAACAAAUUGGGAGUUUCAUUCAAUUUAUAGAUGGGGCAGCUUCUUGUAUACAAUCCAAAUGUUUAAAUAUCAUAACAUUUUUUUCAGGGGAUCUUCGUUCAGCCUUCACCAAUAUCAAGUUUUCUCUAUUUUCUGCUUAAAAAACAAAUUUAUCGUAAGGACAAAGUACAACGACUACUCUAUGCUCUACAUAAUCCCCCGAACAGAGUUCGGAGGAUACUAUGGAUUUGGCCUCGUCGCGCCGCCGUGUCUGCCGCAGAUAUUUCCUUGUGAGCGCUCUAUCAGCUGCAUUUCUUCUCCGAUCGUCUUCAAAUUUGGCAUGAAGGUUGAGUAUGGUAUAGCAAAGAAUCCUAUCGAUUUUGGUGUUGGCGGAGGUCACAUGAUAAGGUCAAAGGUCAUAUUGAGGUCAACAUUAAAGUUUACAUGCAAGACUUUAUUAUGACCCCUAACUUUGCAACCGUAAUUAAGUCACUUUAAUUUCAACCAAACUUGGAUGAUAGAUGGACUUGGGAAACCUGCAUGUUAUGCCGUAGUCAGAGGUCACAUGAUAAGGUCAAAGGUCAUUUUCAGGUCAACAUUAAAGUUUACAUGCAAGACUCUCUUAUGACACCUAACUCCGCCACCAAAAGUCACUUUUCAACCAAACUCGGAUGAGAGAUGGACUUGGGGAACUUGCAUGUUAUGCUGCAGUCAGAGGUCACAUGGUAAGGUCAAAGGUCAUUUUCAGGUCAACGUUAAAGUUUACAUGCAAGACCCUCUUAUGACACCUAACUCUGCAACCGUAAGUCACUUUUCAACCAAACUUGGAUGGUAGAUGGAUUUCGGGUACCUGCAUGUUAUGCUGCAGUCGGAACUAACAUGGGACGGUCAAAGGUCAUUUUCAGGUCAACGUUAAAAGUUCACAUGCAAGAUUCUCUUAUGACACCUAACUCUGCAACCGCAAGUCACUAUUCAACCAAACUUGGAUGGUAGAUGGACUUGGGGGGCCUGCAGGUUAUGCUGCAGUCAGAGGUCACAUGGUAAGGUCAAAGGUCAUUUUCAGGUCAACGUUGGAGUUUACAUGCAAGACUCUCUUUCUCCGCAACCUCAAGUCACUUUUCACCCACACUUGGAUGGUAGAUGGGCUUGGGGGACCUGCAUGCUAGGGUCAUUGUCGCCAUGAUAAUUGUAUUUUUUGUCAAAUUUCUGUGUGAGCUCUAUAUAUCGCAAUGACGGAUGACGCGGUGGGUUCGGGGGAUACAUGUUCUCGGCUGCGCGACCCGCCGAGCAUCUCUAGUUCUAACCCCGAUCAUCAGUUUUUGGCUUGACCGCACAAAAGAAUGCAGUUUCUCCACGCCCGGGGAAAAAUUCCAACAUGUUUUCAAACUCCAAACUGUAAAAAAAUAUUGGGCAAAAUUUUAACCAGCACGAGGGUAAUUAUGUGUCCAAUCGAUUUGAGGCAGUAUUUUAAUCAAUGUGUGAAGCAACAAAAUAAUGAGCAACAAUCCUUACUUUAGAAUGGGCAAAAUUUUAAUUGCUAGUCAUGUUACCGCGUACCCAUUAACCUAGAUUGAGAGUGGCAAAAUGUGAAUUGACGCCUUGUCAAAGGACUCUAGGCCGCGAUGGUAUUCGAACACAUUGAUUACAAGGCGGGAGCCAGGCUCGGGAUCAUAAAUCAACAAAGAGCAGCCAGCCUCGACAAGACUUUCCUAACUUUUCAAUUUAUGAAUAUACUUUCCAUCUGCUAGGUUAGAUUUUAAAGAACAUUAAAAUAUCUAGCCCUACGCUUUAUUCCCUUACUCUAAUUUCCUGUCGUUUUGAUUAUUUUAAUCUAAAAAAAUUAAGCUUAUUAAAUUUUGUAAUAUACCAACAUGUACACAUUCUUGUAUUUUUAGGAUAGAUCACUUUGUUUAACAAAUUUCUCAGACGCAAAGUUACAGGGGAAGAUCAUUCGACGAUAUAAAUUUUGAUAAAUACAUUACAAUAAAGAAUUUUUGGUGAAAGUUUGAUAUAAAAAGGCAUAAUAAGAGAGUUACGAUUUUUUUUAUAAAAAUUGUAAUCUAAAAUAUGAUAUAAAGUCAAUGCUAUUUCCAUUUUUGAAUGGGCUUUGAUGAAUAAAACAGUUUUCCUUUUUUAUGUAGAAGGAGAGAGGAUGUAUGAAAAACUGCCCCAAGAUGUAUUCCCGGUUCUAUGAAUUUUGCCACACCAUUGACUCGGAGCAGAUGUCGUUUCACCAUAUUGACCACUCAAAAAGCAUAUUGUAGAAAACUUUUAUCAAAAUUUACCUCGCACGACACAAUGGAUGGGCUGCUUGACUUUAAAAUUAUUCCAUGCACAAUGCAUUUCGUGUCGUAAUGACCCUCGGUUUAUAGAUUUAGUCGAAAAUGACAGCAGUUAUCUAAUAAACUCCUUCAUUG